rnacentral:lncRNA from 1 species
AGCCCUUUAUUAUAUCGGGUACAUGUGAAGCAAGGAACUACAUUUUGGUGAGGAUUUAGAGUUUGGGGAUGCAGGAAGGGUAGUUCUGCUGCUGUUGAGAGGAUAAAGUUCCUUGCAUGUGUCCCCUCCUCUCUGAUUGUGAAGCUUCCAGUGAACCAUGUGCAUGGAGAGCACUGGACAAUAGCAGAACAGUACCGGCUGUCCCCUAUUUUCACCAGAGAGAAGAUCAACCUCCUACCCUCGCCCUGAAUCCCAAGGAAGGUGAUGCAUUCAUAACAAGGGCAUCCCAGUCCUGGGGAAGGGCAGGAAGGACCCACCCUCAUUAGUCCCUGAUGACUCCCACCCUUGUCCUCGGUCUCCAGGUACUUUGGAAAUGAAAAGAUAGGUGGGGAAACUAGAAUAGAAGUCCAAGAAAGUCUGUAGUGAUCUCAUUUUUACACAGAGAGGGAGGAGGUCAUUUAAGCCACAGAAGAAUCAAAUCACUGCUUAUCUCAUCUUGGCACUUCCCACUAGAGAUCAUUCAAUGUUGAAUAGACAGGUUUCGUUUUUCUUGGGUUUUCAAGAGAUGAUAGCUUUUUACUCUGGAAAAAAAGUUGUCCAUGAGUCUGUGAUCCUGUGUCUUCCAUUCCUGCCCAGAAAUGUCCAAGGAAAUAAACUGUACCCUGCUGUUAUGGGCUGUCCCCCCAAAUUCAUCUGUUGAAUUCCUAACCCCAGGUAUCUCAGAAUGUGACUGUAUUUAAAGACAGGGUCUUUAAAGAGGUAGUUAAGUUAAAAUAAAGUCAUUAAAGUGGCUCCUAAUCCAACACGACUGGUUCCUCAUAAGAAAAGAAAAUUUGGACACAGACAUACAUGAGACAGGACUAUGUGAAGACCCAGGGAGAAGGUGGCUAUCUACAGAGCCAAGGACAGAGGUCUCAGAAGCCAACACUGCCCACACCUUGAUCUCAGGCUUCCAGCCUCCAGAACUGGGAAAAAAUAAAUUUCUGUUGUUUAAGCCACUCAGUCUGUGGCAGUUUAUUAUGGCAGCCCGUGACUUGAGUGAAAGAUUCUUUUAACCAAACUCUAAAGUUUAACUCUUUUGCCUUUCCUUAUCAGAGAUGAACAGGGCAAAGAUUUCAAAUGGAGUCGUGAAACGAAGGACACCCUUCAUAUCCAAUUGUAUUGAAAAGGAGAGGAAGGAAGGGCAACAAAUUAUUAGCAAACACUUGUGACUUAAUGUUUAGAAAGUGUUUUCAAGAUAAUUUUGUCUUAAUAGGCUAACUGCAGAAAAUAUUUAUAGAUAUUCCCUGAGUGGGCAAGCCUGUGGGACACCUUUGGCAGUAUUUAGACACCUCUGCAGCUUCACAGCAAUGCUUCAUUUUCUUCUGACAGUUGCCUCAUCCACUUUUCUUUAGGAAAUGUUUGCCAAGGGAAAAAAAUUCUUCCUCCUGAAACUAAAUGAUUUAGUGUUUGGGAAGCCAGCCAAUUAAAUGUGGCUCCAAGAAUAUAUUUAACCUUGAAAAUGUUUUCAUUUCAAACAGAAAUGCAGCCCUAGGGCAAGAGGGUAACUUAAUGCCCCUGGGAAUGCUGUGCUGGUCUAUAUACCUUGCUCAUUCAUUCAUUCAAUGAAUAUUUAUUGAGUUCUUGCCAUAUAUUAUACCAGGCACUGUGUCAGGUGAGCAGUAUUCAAUGCCAGCUGACAUGAAGUCUACUGGGAAAAGAUAGACCACUGAAUGGACAAUUAGAAUCUGCUGCGAUAGGUGCUGCGCUAGAGGCAGACACAGGGG